GGAGAUGUGGCCGAGUGGUCGAAGGCGCUCCCCUGCUAAGGGAGUAGGCCCGAAAGGGUCUCGUGGGUUCGAAUCCCAUCGUCUCCG
rnacentral:tRNA from 2 species